AGCUUCGACUCAAAACCAGCAUGUGAAUAAUCUUCACAUGCGUCACAUAGAUUAUGCUCGUCUUUCAUUUAAUCUCUUCUAUAGCGGCUAAAUCUGAUUCCUCGCUGUACAUAAAGUUAACAUUCGACAUUGUAUUGUAUCUGGGAACCUAUGCGGGUGCCAGUUUAUCUAUUUGCAGCUCACAUAAAAACGUGCUUUGGAAGUUCCAGCCGUUAAUUUACUGUAUUUUGGAAGACCUUGAUGUUAAUCAACAUGUCAGUUUCCAUAUACAAUAUCGUAAAAGCAGUUGUAUAUCAUUCCAUUUUAUGCAUUUUGAUUUCUUUAAGUUUGAUGAUCGCUUGCUUAUUUCGAAAUAAAUUGCUGAGAACAGGUUAAAUAUUUAACCUCGUAGCUUGAAUAGCACGUGCUUAUGAAUGUACAUGUAUAAUCGGUUUCCUUGAAUUCAUGUACAGUUUCAGUUUCGAUAUAGUUGUUUCUAGAACUCUUUCGCAAUGUUAAAUUACAAAAUGAAUGCAUCCGCACUGCGAUUAUGUCCUUUACAUACAUUUCAUGGUAGUCAUAUGUACAGAAUUUUUUUCCUACAUAUAAAUGGUAGAGGAUGUAACUUUCAAGACAGGUUAAUGGUUCACUGGAAUUUUAGGUUUUAUCAUGGAAGAACAUUAGUUUCUGGCCAACCUAAGUUAAAGUUGGAGUCAAUUAGCUCAAGCUACCCCUAACGGAAAAAUAGAGUUUGGACCAACCAUUCACAGAAUCUGGGUCAGGCCAAAAGAUUGAGCUCAGCUAAUGAAUGGUGUCGAGCUUGGCAAUACCAAUCUCACAUAACUGUGUCCAACUAGCAUUAGUGUGGUCCAUGUGAAAAGGAAAAAAGACUUUCACGCUCUUCUUGUUAGGUAGGGAGGAUUAAGAAUAUCCUAUUGAUUAAAGCUUCUCACACCUCCUAAAAAAAAGCAUGAAAAAAGGACUCGAAUCAUAUGAUUCCUUAGUCACCCAAAAUGAAAUGGGCGAUCUGUGAUUCUUAAUGUGUAAAGAUGCGUUGUUAGGUUCUCAUUUCCUUUUCCAUUGAGAUCGAACCUAAAUUUAUGCUCGACGGAUAACUGUCCACACAAUAAUAAAGAAUUCACAGAUUCUCAAAAAAAGAGCAAUAUGGUGGUACCUAGACAGUCCAGAUCCCUUGAGUGAAAGUCGGGUAUAUGUUGUCACUGCAAUCGCCCUAUUUAUGUUCCUGAUGAGAGGUUUGGUUUCUGACUCAAUUCGAACAACAGAAGUACACCACUACUAAUGUGCUUUGGGUGAUUUGCCGACAACUAGAGAUGUGGAGACUCUAAAAUGCAUUUUUUGUGCUGUAUGUAAGAGUGGAGAUGUGUGCUUUACCAAAUGAAAAUACAGAAAUUCAAUCUUCAAAAACUCACGAUGCAUUACAUGAAUUAGAAUGGGAAUUCAUUAGCCAUUAUAAGGCAUGUAACUAAUUAUAUUUCCUAAUCGCAGCUGAGGAGAGUGAUAAACUAUUAUUGGCAGCCAAAAAGAUUAGAAGGGCAACGAGCACGGACUUUGUGGUAUCUUUAGUUGCAGAUGAUUUUUCUCGAGCCAGCAAUACAUAUGUUGGAAGACUAAGGCAAAUCUCGCAUAAUACUUUGGUAGAUUGAUAUAUUUUUGAAAUAUUUUGUUCUAACUACAUUGAAAAUGUCUCAAUCAGGUCUAACUUUCUGGGGACAAAGUUCACCAUAUAUGACUGUGAACCUCCGAAUGAUGCUGCAGUGCACCAUAAUAGUAGGUCGAGUCGAAGGUUCAACACGAGGCAAGUAUCUCCAAGAUUACCUGCUUAUAACUACAAUGUAGCCACUAUUUCCUACGAACUCAAUGUUCUCCGCACAAGAGGUCCUAGGAGAAUGAAUUGUGUCAUGAGUUCAAUUCCGGUCUCUUCAAUUCAGGAGGGAGGCACUGCCCCGACACCAACAUCAUUUCCACAAUGUUAUGAUGACAAAUCGUCUUCCCUACGGAUUUCAGAAGGAAAGGACUCGGCCUUAAAUUUCAGCUCCCGAAAACUUUCAAGUUCAUCAUUAACGCCACCACUUUCUGGAGAGCCACUAGUUCUAAAAAACAAAGCUCCUAGAUGGCAUGAACAAUUGCAGUGCUGGUGCCUGAAUUUCAAGGGCCGUGUUACAGUAGCUUCUGUUAAAAAUUUCCAGCUUGUGGCUAAUGUUGAUCCAUCUCUCAACAUAUCAGCUGCAGAACAAGAAAAGGUAAUUUUACAGUUUGGAAAGAUCGGAAAAGACAUUUUCACCAUGGAUUAUCGCUACCCUCUCACUGCCUUUCAAGCCUUUUUAAUCUGCUUGAGCAGCUUCGACUCAAAACCAGCAUGUGAAUAAUCUUCACAUGCGUCACAUAGAUUAUGCUCGACUUUCAUUUAAUCUCUUCUAUAGCGGCUAAAUCUUAUUCCUCGCUGUACAUAAAGUUUACAGUCGACAUUGUAUUGUAUCUGGGAACCUAUGCGGGUGCCAGUUUAUCUAUUUGCAGCUCACAUAAAAACGUGCUUUGGAAGUUCCAGCCGUUAAUUUACUGUACUUUGGAAGACCUUGAUGUUAAUCAACAUGUCAGUUUCCAUGUACAAUAUCGUAAAAGCAGUUAUAUAUCAUUCCAUUUUAUGCAUUUUGAUUUCUUUUAAGUUUGAUGAUCACUUGCUUAUUUCGAAAUAAAUUUCUGAGAACAGGUUAAAUAUUUAAC
rnacentral:lncRNA from 1 species